rnacentral:rRNA from 1 species
GACGUAGGGCGCGAGCGUUGUCCGGAUUUAUUGGGCGUAAAGAGCUCGUAGGCGGCUUGUCGCGUCGACUGUGAAAGCCCGCGGCUCAACCGCGGGUCUGCAGUCGAUACGGGCAGGCUAGAGUUCGGUAGGGGAGACUGGAAUUCCUGGUGUAGCGGUGAAAUGCGCAGAUAUCAGGAGGAACACCAAUAGCGAAGGCAGCUCGCUGGGACGUUACUGACACUGAGGCGCGAAAGCGUGGGGAGCGAACAGG